UACGUAGGGGGCAAGCGUUGUCCGGAAUCAUUGGGCGUAAAGAGCGCGUAGGCGGUCCGGUAAGUCGGUUGUGAAAACUGGGGCUCAACCCUCAGAGGCCGACCGAUACUGUCGGGCUAGAGCCCGGAAGAGGCGGAGUGGAAUUCCUGGUGUAGCGGUGAAAUGCGCAGAUAUCAGGAGGAACACCAAUGGCGAAGGCAGCUCGCUGGGACGGUACUGACGCUGAGGCGCGAAAGCGUGGGAGCAAACAGG
rnacentral:rRNA from 1 species